CCAACGCCAACGCCAAUUACCUCACGUAUGAGAGAGAGAGAGAUUUUUAAGAGAGAGAAAGAGAGGUUCAGUAUAAAGAAAGAGUAAAUAAGCUCCGGGCUUGGGCUCGUGUGGUUAGCUUAUGAUGUUUAUGGAUAAUUGCAUGUUGUUGUUUUCAUUCUCAUACACCUUCAAAAUUUAUUAAACAUUACGAAAAUGAGUGAGGAUUUGUAUUUUACAUUGAAUUAUUUUAAAAAAUAAGUUCAUUUAACUUCUAGAGAGAAAAUCGUCUUAGAAAGGUGGUAUAAUGUGCAGUAAAAAGGGUAUAUUGUCCGUUAGAAAGAAACUAACAGGGAAUAGAGAAAGGGAAUAUAGAGGAAAAGUAUAGUGAGAGAGUAGUUAAGAGAACAAGUUUUUAAGAG
rnacentral:lncRNA from 1 species